AUUGAACGCUGGCGGUAGGCCUAACACAUGCAAGUCGAACGGCAGCACAGUAAGAGCUUGCUCUUACGGGUGACGAGUGGCGGACGGGUGAGGAAUACAUCGGAAUCUACUUUUUCGUGGGGGAUAACGUAGGGAAACUUACGCUAAUACCGCAUACGACCUACGGGUGAAAGCAGGGGAUCUUCCGACCUUGCGCGAUUGAAUGAGCCGAUGUCGGAUUAGCUAGUUGGCGGGGUAAAGGCCCACCAAGGCGACGAUCCGUAGCUGGUCUGAGAGGAUGACCAGCCACACUGGAACUGAGACACGGUCCAGACUCCUACGGGAGGCAGCAGUGGGGAAUAUUGGACAAUGGGCGCAAGCCUGAUCCAGCCAUACCGCGUGGGUGAAGAAGGCCUUCGGGUUGUAAAGCCCUUUUGUUGGGAAAGAAAAGCAGCAGGUUAAUACCCCGCUGUUCUGACGGUACCCAAAGAAUAAGCACCGGCUAACUUCGUG
rnacentral:rRNA from 1 species